rnacentral:tRNA from 1 species
GCGGGAAUAGCUCAGUGGUAGAGCACCUCGUUGCCAACGAGGAUGUCGCGAGUUCAAAUCUCGUUUCCCGCUCCA